rnacentral:rRNA from 1 species
GACGAACGCUGGCGGCGUGCCUAAUACAUGCAAGUAGAACGCACAGUUUAUACCGUAGCUUGCUACACCAUAGACUGUGAGUUGCGAACGGGUGAGUAACGCGUUGGUAACCUGCCUGGUAGCGGGGGAUAACUAUUGGAAACGAUAGCUAAUACCUCAUAAUAUUGAUUAUUGCAUGAUAAUUAAUUGAAAGGUGCAAUUUCACCACUACCAGAUGGACCUGCGUUGUAUUAGCUAGUAGGUGAGGUAACGGCUCACCUAGGCGACGAUACAUAGCCGACCUGAGAGGGUGAGCGGCCACACUGGGACUGAGACACGGCCCAGAAUCCUACGGGAGGCAGAAGUAGGGAAUCUUCGGCAAUGGAAGAAAGUCUGACCGAGCAACGCCGCGUGAGUGCAGAAGGUUUUCGGAUCGUAAAGCUCUGUUGUAAGAGAAGAACGGGUGUGAGAGUGGAAAGUUCACACUGUGACGGUAUCUUACCAGAAAGGGACGGCUAACUACGUG